rnacentral:rRNA from 1 species
UACGUAGGGUGCAAGCGUUAAUCGGAAUUACUGGGCGUAAAGCGUGCGCAGGCGGCGCGUUAAGACAGGUGUGAAAGCCCCGAGCUUAACUUGGGAAUUGCGCUUGUGACUGGCGUGCUGGAGUGUGGCAGAGGGAGGUGGAAUUCCACGUGUAGCAGUGAAAUGCGUAGAGAUCUGGAGGAACACCGAUGGCGAAGGCAGCCUUCUGGGCCAACACUGACGCUCAUGCACGAAAGCGUGGGGAGCAAACAGG